GAGCGGCCGUAGCAAUACGGCAGCGGCAGACGGGAGAGUAACACGUGGGAACGCGCCCUUCGGUUCGGAAUAACUCAGGGAAACUUGGGCUAAUACCGAAUACGCCCUUACGGGGAAAGAUUUAUUGCCGAAGGAACGGCCCGCGUCCGAUUAGCUUGUUGGUGAGGUAACGGCUCACCAAGGCGACGAUCGGUAGCUGGUCUGAGAGGAUGACCAGCCCCACUGGGACUGAGACACGGCCCAGACUCCUACGGGAGGCAGCAGUGGGGAAUAUUGGACAAUGGGCGCAAGCCUGAUCCAGCCAUGCCGCGUGGGUGAUGAAGGCCCUAGGGUUGUAAAGCCCUUUCGGCGGGGAAGAUAAUGACGGUACCCGCAGAAGAAGCCCCGGCUAACUUCGUG
rnacentral:rRNA from 1 species